rnacentral:piRNA from 1 species
UGUUUUGUUUUUACAAUCUGCCUCAAAU